AUCAAAGAGCCUGUGCAGCUGCUGUCGCCUCCAGCAAACCCGAAAUGUCAGAGGGGGAGGGACAUGAGGGGACAUACCGGGAGAGAUAGAGCGAGAGAGAGUGAGCGAGGGAGAGACAUAUAGAGGUGUGGCUCUAACCAUUUGCGGCAGCCAUUAGUGCUUGGAGCUGCUCUGCCUCAGUUGGGGGGUUUGGCCAGGGUCCGGUUCCCAUGGCGACCUCUGGAGUGGCAGCAGCUCUGCGGGAGAGACAGAGGGAGGAAGAGAAGCUCAUUUAAUAAUCGGAAGAAGAAAGAGAAGCUUGUUGGGAGAAGAAUUUUGUGUUAAAUUGCCUUGGAAGAAAGAAGAGGAAGAAAAUGAGAGAAGGAAGUUCGGGUGCUAUGACACUGAAAGAUCUGACAUACUGAUAUCAGCCUGGUCUUAGGCAUCACCAGUAGCCAAGUACUGCUGGACCGGAGAGUUCGAGAAGGGUGAAGUGCUUAGGUGAGAUGAAGGGGUUUGUAAUGAGUAAGGACUUUAGUAGAUAAAUUCUGAAUAGGUUUUUUGAGUCUAUUUACUGUUUGACAAGUAAU